UCAACUAAGGCUUUUCAAUGACUGCAGUUUAGGGAUUUACUAACCAUUAUUCAAAAUGAAUUGCUUGGAAUGAAAUUCCUGCGAAGCAUCUAAAUAAAACAGAGCUGAAGUGUCAAUAUAUACAACUAUCAUCAUGGUUCGAUACAAAAACCCAACACAGUUCUGGCCACAAACCGGCCACAACCGUUGUCACCAACUACUGUAUCAGUAUACAAGUUUCAAUAUAAUAGUUCAAGCCAUUUAAAAGUCCUAUUACUAUCACACAGUAAAGGUCUAACAAAACUAGCAUGCUAGGGUCACUGCCCUCAAUCGUGUCCUCCCUCAUUCAUCACUGAAAUGAGUUCUUCGACAACGUCUAAGCACUGGCUAGUGUGAGUAAGGUUAAUAAAACAUACAUGCACCCAUGAAAAUAGAGAAAUCAGGUUCAUUUAAAACAAGAAAUGAAACCACUUUUGUCAAUCCAUGCCUCAACUAGGCCAUCCCUGACUAUCAGUCAAGAUACAAUAGAAAAUCAAUCCCUCCCACGGGAUUCAUGGCUCAGGUACGACAUCAUACAUCAAAGUGUACAUUCUAUAUACGAUUGGACAAUUGCGACACACUAACCGUUCAACGAACCACCAGAACAUAGGAGCGACCCUAACCCUUGGGAUGAUCAUCCCACAAUCAUCUGGUAAUGAUCUCCUUAUACAAUCAACCACGCUAUAUUCUUCCCCUAGCGCACGGGGCAUCGUAAUGAAACUAUGUGUCGACUUAAAACAACAUUUCACAAAUGUUUCAUAAUUUCAUGUAUAUUCAAAAAUAAAGCAUGCUUUUUUUAACCAUAAAAACAUUCAGUUUAAACACAAGCCAUGCUUUCACAUAUAAAACAGUUACUUUAUUGCUAUGAAUACAUAACAAGACUCACUGGAAUAUGCCACGAAGAUCUUCCUAUACACCGUGACUAACGUCAAGCUACGUUCCUGAAAUUCGGCCCUAGUAUAAUAUUCGAUACGAACCAUAGAUUGUAUUUUACGUUGGCUAUAAAUAUCCUAAUUUCAUAUUAUCAAAUUAGAUAAUAUAAUUUUGAAUUUUCUAUAGAAUUUCUUGAAUUAAUUUUCAGAAACAAACACUUAGUCUAUGAAUUUAUAAAAUCGUCAAUUCUAUUGAUCCAAGACUUUUCAUAAUAUACUAGACACAGACAUUUAUUACAGUAUAAUUUUAUAAAUUAAUACAUAGCUUUACAUUUUUAGAAAUUCAUUAAACAAUUCUAAUUUUUGCAAAAUAUCGGUACUGACCAUGUUUAGUUAAAAUUAUUUGGGCAUGAAAUAAUAUCCAUUAAUUCGUGAAAUUAAAUAUGUAAUUUACCGGAACAUAUAAAUUUUCUAGCAUAUAAAAAUUUCAGAAUUUUCUAACAAACGAAACUAUUUUUUAUCAAAAAUUCAUAAAGCCUCUGUUCGAACCAAUUUAUUUUCCAGUUUUUCAAAAAGCACUGUAAACGUCAAUUUUGAUUAACUUAGAAGUCUGAAUUUUACAAAACGUUCUAAAUAAAAGUUUUUUUAGAUAAUUUUGAUACCUUUCCAACUCAAACUUCGUAAAUCAAGUAAUUCGGAACCGUAUGAAAAAGUAGAUCGAAAUACGUAGAUGUUCCAGUAAAAAAGUUGAAUUCCGAAUUCGGACUUUUUGAUUUAGAAAAAAAUACGUAUAUAAAUGUAAAUUUGGAGUAUUUAGCGGAUUGGAUUUACAUUAAACUAGAUACGGUGUUCUAUAAUAAGGCUUUAAAUAAAUAAAUAAGAUUAAGUUGAAUUCCCUUGACGAAAAAAAAAAAAAAACACGACCUCAGUCUUUCUUUUCUUUCUUAUAUUUCUCUUAUGUACCUUCCUUUCUAUGUUUGGUUUAUGUUGUUGACUUGGGAAUGAAAAUGGGGAGUGCAGAGAGAUGCAGGAGUAGGCUUUAUAGAAUAGGUUUUGGCUUAUUAGGCUAGUGGAUUACUCUUCAUACAUGUCACACAUGACUAACACCACCCUCACCAAUAGCAUGCAAUAUGCACACACACUCUCAUCAAACAAAUUAUGGUUUGGUUGAGAUGAAAUGAAAGAGGGGCUGGAUCCACACACCAACGGUCCCAUUGGCACACACUCAUGCGUCACCCCCAGUGUCCACCGUGUGUCGUCAACGUGUCGUAUUUAUCGUGUUCCGGUUUCUCACUAAUUUCAUACUUUAUUGCGAAAAAAAUAAAAUAUUGAAUUGAUUACUAAUAUUAAUACCUGUUUUCGCGUACGGGUAUUACAAUUUACAGUCCUGCUACGAAGCUCUGAUCCAAAUUGACUCUUAAAUUCUUUUUUUGAGUGGAGAAAAGCCUAGCCCCUUUUUUGGAAUAUAUAUUGAACACAUCAUGAACACGUAUGUAUAGCGACAGAGUUAGAAUAAAUGUUUAGUGGGUUAAAAGAGUCAAAAUUUAUGUUCAGCGGGGUCAAAAGAACCAAAAUUUCAGUUUAAUGGGAUCAAAAUUAUAGAAUUUAUA
rnacentral:lncRNA from 1 species